rnacentral:rRNA from 1 species
UACGUAGGGUGCAAGCGUUGUUCGGAUUUACUGGGCGUAAAGGGCGCGUAGGCGGCCACUGCAAGUCAGUUGUGAAAUCUCCGGGCUUAACCCGGAAAGGUCAAGUGAUACUGCAGGGCUAGAGUGCAGAAGGGGCAACUGGAAUUCUCGGUGUAGCGGUGAAAUGCGUAGAUAUCGAGAGGAACACCUGCGGCGAAGGCGGGUUGCUGGGCUGACACUGACGCUGAUGUGCGAAAGCUAGGGGAGCGAACGGG